rnacentral:rRNA from 1 species
CAGCUAGUUGGUGGGGUAACGGCCUACCAAGGCGAAGACGCGUAGCUGGUCUGAGAGGAUGAUCAGCCACACUGGGACUGAGACACGGCCCAGACUCCUACGGGAGGCAGCAGUGGGGAAUAUUGGACAAUGGGCGCAAGCCUGAUCCAGCCACGCCGCGUGAGUGAUGAAGGCCUUCGAGUCGUAAAGCUCUGUGGGGAGGGACGAACCGCCAGGGGUUAAUACCCUCUGGCAUGACGGUACCUCCUUAGCAAGCACCGGCUAACUUCGUGCCAGCAGCCGCGGUAAUACGAAGGGUGCAAACGUUGCUCGGAAUCAUUGGGCGUAAAGCGCACGUAGGCGGCUUUGCAAGUCGGACGUGAAAUCCCUCAGCUCAACUGAGGAAGUGCAUCCCAAACUGCAAGGCUUGAGUACUGAAGAGGAUCGCGGAA